rnacentral:rRNA from 1 species
ACCAGACUCCUACGGGAGGCAGCAGUGGGGGAUAUUGCACAAUGGGGGAAACCCUGAUGCAGCAACGCCGCGUGAGUGAAGAAGUAUUUCGGUAUGUAAAGCUCUAUCAGCAGGGAAGAGAAUGACGGUACCUGACUAAGAAGCCCCGGCUAACUACGUGCCAGCAGCCGCGGUAAUACGUAGGGGGCGAGCGUUAUCCGGAUUUACUGGGUGUAAAGGGAGCGUAGACGGCUGGUCAAGUCUGAAGUGAAAGCCCGGGGCUUAACCCCGGAACGGCUUUGGAAACUGAGCAGCUAGAGUGCUGGAGAGGUAAGCGGAAUUCCUAGUGUAGCGGUGAAAUGCGUAGAUAUUAGGAGGAACACCAGUGGCGAAGGCGGCUUACUGGACAGUAACUGACGUUGAGGCUCGAAAGCGCGGGGAGCAAACAGGAUUAGAUACCCCUGUA